CGUGACGUCACCGAAAGCGGCAGAUACGGAAGUUGGCGCGCUUCUCGCUUGUAUGCAGCAAAGCGAAACAGGCUGCUGAGUAGGUCGGCUUUAAAAAGUAUCACAUCGCACACAGUGUGAAGACCGCAGUAUUGGUACCAAUAACAGUCAUCCCUACAUACCACCUGACCUGUCUCCUCUUAUCAAGAUCCUCUUUGAGUAGAAUAUUCAUGAAG